CUUCGGUCCCUUCGUGACGAUUAUCUGUAAAUCCCGCCAGGCCCGGAAGGGAGCAACGGUAGCAGAGACAUCGGGUGCGGGGGUGUGCUGAAUCAG
rnacentral:SRP_RNA from 1 species